CCUACGGGGAGCUGCAGUGGGGGAUAUUGCACAAUGGGGGGAACCCUGAUGCAGCGACGCCGCGUGGGUGAAGGAGUAUUUCGGUAUGUAAAGCCCUAUCGGCAGGGAAGAAUUUAGACGGUACCUGACUAAGAAGCCCCGGCUAACUACGUGCCAGCAGCCGCGGUAAUACGUAGGGGGCAAGCGUUAUCCGGAUUCACUGGGUGUAAAGGGAGCGUAGACGGCAGCGCAAGUCUGGAGUGAAAUGGCGGGGCCCAACCCCGGAACUGCUCUGGAAACUGGGAAGCUGGAGUGCAGGAGAGGUAAGCGGAAUUCCUGGUGUAGCGGUGAAAGGCGUAGAUAUCAGGAGGAACACCGGCGGCGAAGGCGGCUUACUGGACUGUAACUGACGUUGAGGCUCGAAGGCGUGGGGAGCAAACAGGAUUAGAUACCCGAGUAGUC
rnacentral:rRNA from 1 species